GUGGGCGGAUUCGCUCCAAUAAAAAGGCAGCGGUGUUUGGAAUAACUUCUUCGUGAUUAAUUCCUGUUCUGAGAGCCAAAGCGAAGAAAUACCCUGGGUUCGUCCAAUUUAACAGCGGCGCACAUUCAGUGCAAAAUACACGAACAGUAUCAGGGCCUGCAGUAUGUUGAGGGAGACGUUGGUGGCGUUGGUACUGAUGCUGGGCCUGACUCACACCGCCGCUCAACACCGGAAGCGCGCCACGGGACAUUUUGGACAUGCGCUUUGGGGUGACAUGUACGUCCGGUCUAAAGAUAUGUUUCACAGACCGAGGCAACGGUCAGAGAUUGUCGCCCCUCACCGCUCUUCUUUCAAGGAGUUACAUAAAGACAUUGAGCGUUUGACACGCAUGCGCAAGUCAAGCAAUAACUCCGGAAGUGGCAGCUGGUUACGGAAACUGGUUCUCAUGCGUGCGCUGAUGAAUCAACCUGUGAUUCAAAAACGACUUGAAUUGAACUGUGAUACAACCCGCAUUACCAUUCAAAUAAUACUUGAGUAUUUGAGGAGCGGAAGAAUAUGUGGGUUUAGGGUAACAACAGUGCGUUUCGGACUGGGCGGAAGGAGGUAGACCGGAAGUACUAUGUAACACUGCUCUAAAGCCAGCCGAAUCAGAUCAAAGAGUUGCCUGGGACGCGGGAAUAUCGUUUAACUAUUCAGUGAAACCCCGUUGAUCCGACAAAAUACCGAAUUUGGGCGAUUAUGUUUGGAUCAUAAAUAAUAAUUCGGAGUAUAUACGUAUAUAACAUGACCCCGAGCUGAGAAUUCUUUAUCCGGAUUGUUUCACUGUGCGGAUUAACGAGGGUUCACUGUAACUAUUUCAUUGGUUCUACUUCUCCUGUAACAUACAUUGCACGCAGUGAACAUGAACGUGGGAACGAUGCAGUUGUCAUAGAUAAUUAUAGCAUGGGACUUUGGUCCGCAUCACUCCUUGUGUGUAGUCAGUGUUUUGAAGGCGACGGAUGUGACAGGAAGCCUAUUUCAGAGAAAGUAAUGCUGAUGACAACGAUUAUAGAUCAGUGAAUGUGCAUUCGUCGCUAGAGGGUGUUGCGGCACAUGAGUUGGCCGUCAGAAGGCGCUGUGGAGCCGAGGAACACAAUCAGUGGGAAUCUUUUGAACGCUCUUCUUGAAGAACCUGAAUAGCUGCUCAAGAGGACAAAUAGAUGCCCCUGCAUCAAAAGCGUGGAUAUGUUUUGUUGUUUGUGAAAUUACAGUGUGACAUUUGUGGUAAUACGAACCUUUCGGCUUGAAGGCAACACAGCAAUGUACAUAGUUAGACCUGUAUUGUUAUUUCAGUGAUAGCUUGCUAGUCCAGAAACCUCGCUAGUCCGGACACCCUACGAAUACUGCUGAGUGGGUUGCCAUACAUACAAGUGGACCUUUUUAAAUUUGAAAUAUUUGAGAAAACAGGUGAUGUCGGAUUUGGCUCCGGAUUAACGGGUUUCCAUUGUUUCUUAUAUAAUUGAGAUAUCUAUCCAGUUUCUAGAAACCGGACAACACGAUUUAAAGGGGCCAUGUGCGCUAUUGAGUUAGGGCUUAGAACUAGUCAUUGUAAUAAGCAAAAUGGGACACAAUCAUUGUCUAUGAUAACGGCGUUACUAUGAACUGCCAGAUUUGUAUAUUUAGCAGAAAUCUUAAGUCGAACGUGGACGUUGAAUCAGACUUGUUGGACUGCCAAUUUUACGGACCUUAAUGUCCCUUUAAACCCCUAAUAUUUAAGAUCGACUCCGAUAUAUUCUUUUUUGUUUAUAGAGCUAUAAACGUAAACAUCCGACGUGCACAUGGCGUAAAACGAGCUUGUACGUUCAUAACUCCAAAUCUUAUAAAUUCUUUUAAAGAAAUAUGUCAACAAUAAAAGCUUUAUAGAUUACUUUGUAAUCAAUAAUAGUUAACUCCUUGAGAAAACAACACGAAAUCGGUGAUGUCGUUUAUCGCAAUAAUUUAACACGUGCCCCAACAAUUCUAGUAUAAGCCAAUCAAAAAUCCGCAAUCCAAAGUGGUUGAUUAUCAUUGGUUAAGGAAACUAGUACACAAAAUGAAUGUAUUAGUUAACCAAUCAAAAGCUACGGAAUUACCUCAAUAUUCAUUUAUGAUUGUACCAAUCGAAUCGGGAAAUGGUCGGUUUAGAUAAUCAAAUGUGAAAUAAAUUUGAAAUUAUUGCUAAAACCUUACACCCGUGCGAAGCUAUGGCUUUGAAUACAGGUCCGCUUUAAGUAUUAGUGUGCACGGACAACGGACAAGCAGCUAUGUCUUAGGCUGGUUGUAAUCUGUAGUAGAUGUUAGUUAGUUGUUUUGUCUCUUGUUUUGACGAUCUCUCACAAUCCAUUGGCGUUUCUUUUAUAAGAAUAAAGUGGUCUCUAAUGUA